GAUAGGUCCCAGAAACUACUAGCAACAUUUUAACCAACAUUAAAAGCUGGUAUAGUUUCACUAAAAUAACAAAAUAAUUGAUUAUGUAUAAUAAAUCUCUGAUCGUAAGUCCUCAGUUUACUGGGAAACAGUUGUGUAAACAUAAUUAAACUCCUCACCUUAAAGUGGUAUGACAUAAUGCAGUACAUAUACAAAAGGGAAUAACUGACAUCAAUCUCAUUCCUUUGACAACGUUGAUAAAUUGAUAUAUUAUGGCAAUAGACAUUUAAUAGCUUAUUUAGUGAGGUUUCCUAUGUUUGAAUAUGAAAUUCAACCAAUCAGUAUUAAGUGCUAUACUCUACCAUGGGCAUAGAAAAUAUGGUUCCUGCCCUCAAAGUACUCACUUUCUGGUUAAGUCUUUUUAUUAAAGUGCAAUGUCUAAAGUACUGUGACUGAAGGAAGCAAAGGGUCUUCUGGAAACAUAGUGGAGGGAUACCUAAUCUAGUGAAAGGUAGAUGGUUUGUCAGGAAAAGGUUUCUUAACAUGGGAACACUGGAGGAACCUUAAAAAAGGUAAAAAGGGAACAGUUGGUAGAGUGCUUGCCUUGCAUGCACAAGGCCCUGGGUUCAAUCCCUAGCAAACCCCCCCCCCCGCCCCCCCCGGGGGAAAAAAAAAGAUUCAAAGGAAUUUACUGCACAAAAAGAUAAUGAAAGACCUGCAUGGGAAAAGGUACAGGAAUAGGGAGAAGGAAGAGAAAUGAGCAGUUCAAACUGAUGAAAGACACCAGGCAGAAGCCCAAGUUGGAGACACAUAAGGAAGGAGUCCAAGCUGGAGAGAAGUCAGACCAUAAAAAAAUCUCUUGUCUUCUGAGCUCAUCAAUAAAGAAGUUGAACGUUAUUCCACAGUAGAAAAGUAUUUUAGUAGCUGAGUUGAUUUCUUAACUGGUUAAACAAUCAGACCAAAGAGACUGGGUUGGUGGAACUGUCAACCCCCAGGGAUGUCUCAUGUUGAACUACAAGUGAAGAUAUGAUCUGCUUAACCAAAGCUAAAGCAGAAAGCUUGUGUAAAAGUCAAAGAUCUUGACAGGCUAAAACAAGGGAGAUGUAAGAUCAAAUAGUUAUAAACUGAGAAUAACUCUAAAAAAGAGUUCUAGGCUGAGAAACAUGUCUUCUAAGGUCUAUGUGUGUACUUGUAGAUUUUAUUUCCAAAGAGCAUUGAUUUUUUGAAGCUUAUUUAUGCAAAAACAAAAGCACAUAGUAUACCUAAAACAGUAGUUAAAUGUGCUUUGCUUUUUUUUUUUCUGUUUCCUUAUUCCUCCAGUCUAAGAAAUAAAGUAGAGAAGAGUAAAUCCAAGAAAGCCAGUCAAAAGAAGAAUGUUUAUCCAAGAAAGUCUUUCCUUUGACUUAAACAAAAUAUAGGAACUGUAUAAUGUGUUUCAUCAAACCUGACACCAAAACUUGUAUUUAUUUAUGCUGCCAUUUUAAGACAUUAAAAUUUCAGAGAUAUUAAAAUGUGAGGAAAAAACAGAUUUGGUAAAAGUAUAUUUUCUUGGCUGGGCGCAAUAGCGCAUGCCUGUAAUCCCAGCAGCUCCAGAGACAGAAGCAGGAAGAUCCAGAGUUCAAAGCCAGCCUUAGCUAUUUAGUGAGGCACUAAGCAACUCAGUGAGACCCGGUCUCUAAAUAAAAUAUAAAAAAGGGCUGGGGAUGUGGCUCAGUGGUUGAGCACCCCUGGGUUCAAUCCUCAGUACCAAAAAAAAAAGGAUUAUUUCCUUAAAUACUUUAUUUAAUAACAAAAAGGUACACCAUCAUAAUAUAAGCUAGUCCUACGAAAAUCAAAGAUUAUGGGAUUUAUAAGCAACUAGAUUUAGGGUUAAUCUGUAGGCUUACUAUUUGCAAUGAGAAUCUGCCUAAUUAAACAUACAAACUGUAAGGUUAUUUAAAAACUGAUUUUAGUAUAGUUGGCCUGAGAAGAAACAAAUAAAACUUAAAAGCUCAUGGUGGCACCCUCCUGUAAUCCCAGUGACUGCAAGGCUGAGGCCAGUUUGGGCAAUUUAGCUAAACCCCGUCUCAAAAAAUUAAAAGGGCUAGAUUUGUAGUUUAGUGGUAGAGUGCCCAUGGGUUCAACCUCAUUACCACAAAGAAAAAAAAAGUUCUUGGCUAAAUCUUUUCUCACAAAAGUAUCCAAAUUCUAUAUAAUGAUUAUCAAAAUGAUUUCACAAGUAAACAUGAUGUUUCAAGGAUCUGAAAGACUUGAACAGCAGCAUGGUGGUGCAUGUCUGUGAUCCCAGAGACUUGAGAGCCUGAGGCAGGAUUGCAAAUUUGAGGCCAGCCUGGGCAAUGUAGCAAGACCCUGUCUCUAAAUAAAUAAAUAAAUAAAUAGGGCUGGAGAUGCAGCUUAGUGGUCAAGUGUCCUUGGGUUUGAUCCCUAGAAACAAGACUUCAGAAAGUUGAUAGGGAUAGAGUCGUGAGUUGUAGCUUUCUAGUUUGAGCAACUCAAGCUGGUGGUGAUAAUUCACUAAGAAUGGAAAGGGAGAGAGGGAGACUUUUUGAGAAAGUUACGUGUCAGCCUCAUCUAUGUGAAUAUAACUUGCUAGAUGAAGAUACUGGAUCCGCAUGUUUCUUGGUAGUGAUCACAGGAUCAUAAGCAGUGUUGGAAAGUAUCUGAAAAAUCAUGUAAUUCAUACCCAUCUCUUCCACUUUCAUCCUCCUUACUCUUCCUAUGAAGAUUAAUUAAUUCCUAUGAGAUUAAUUUCCACAAUUCUAAAAUGGAAACUUUUACCUACUUCAAAGGAUUAAAUGAUAUACUAGAUAUAAAACACUUAUCACGGGGCUGGGGAUGUGGCUCAAGCGGUAGCGCGCUCGCCUGGCAUGCGUGCGGCCCGGGUUCGAUCCUCAGCACCACAUACAAAGAAAGAUGUUGUGUCCGCCGAGAACUAAAAAAUAAAUAUUAAAAAAAAAAAAAAAAAAAAAAAAAAAACACUUAUCACAGUGCCUAGCAACUUUUCAACAAAGAAGUCAUUAAUAAUUAUUAGCUUAAAAAGGAACAGUGAGCUGGUUGCGGUGGCACAUGCCUGUAAUCCCAGCAACUAGGUAUCUGAGGCAGAAGGAUCCCAAAUUCAAAACCAGUCUCAGCAAUUUAGCAAGGCCCUCAGCAACUUAGUAAGACCCUGUCUCAAAAUAAAGUAUAAAAAAAGCUGGGAUGUGACUCAGCGAUGUGUUUAGUGUUUAGCAUGUGUGAGGCCUUAAGUUAAAAAGAGAUUUUUUUCUUUUUGUACAGUUUGUAACCCAAUAAUAGAC
rnacentral:lncRNA from 1 species